rnacentral:rRNA from 1 species
AUACGGAGGAUCCGAGCGUUAUCCGGAUUUAUUGGGUUUAAAGGGUGCGCAGGCGGCCAUUUAAGUCAGCGGUUAAAUCGUGGGGCUCAACCCCAUUCUGCCGUUGAUACUGGGUGGCUUGAUUGCGGUCGAGGUUGGCGGAAUUCGUUGUGUAGCGGUGAAAUGCAUAGAUAUGACGAAGAACACCGAUUGCGUAGGCAGCUGACCAGAUCGCAAAUGACGCUCAUGCACGAAAGUGCGGGGAUUGAACAGGAUUAGAUACCCUGGUAGUCCGCACAGUAAACGAUGAAUACUUGUUUUCGGCGAUAUAAUGUCGGAGGCAAAGCGAAAGCGAUAAGUAUUCCACCUGGGGAGUACGCCGGCAACGGUGAAACUCAAAUGAAUUGACGGGG